AACGAACGCUGGCGGCAUGCCUAACACAUGCAAGUCGAACGAGACCUUCGGGUCUAGUGGCGCACGGGUGCGUAACGCGUGGGAACCUGCCCUUAGGUUCGGAAUAACUCCCCGAAAGGGGUGCUAAUACCGGUUAAUGUCUUCGGACCAAAGAUUUAUCGCCUUUGGAUGGGCCCGCGUUGGAUUAGCUAGUUGGUAGGGUAAAAGCCUACCAAGGCGACGAUCCAUAGCUGGUCUGAGAGGAUGAUCAGCCACACUGGGACUGAGACACGGCCCAGACUCCUACGGGAGGCAGCAGUAGGGAAUAUUGGACAAUGGGCGAAAGCCUGAUCCAGCAAUGCCGCGUGAGUGAUGAAGGCCUUAGGGUUGUAAAGCUCUUUUACCCGGGAUGAUAAUGACAGUACCGGGAGAAUAAGCUCCGGCUAACUACGUG
rnacentral:rRNA from 1 species